rnacentral:rRNA from 1 species
GACGGAGGAUGCAAGCGUUAUCCGGAAUUAUUGGGCGUAAAGAGCUCGUAGGCGGCUUGUCACGUCGGGUGUGAAAGCCCGGGGCUUAACCCCGGGUCUGCAUUCGAUACGGGCUAGCUAGAGUGUGGUAGGGGGGAUCGGAAUUCCUGGUGUAGCGGUGAAAUGCGCAGAUAUCAGGAGGAACACCGGUGGCGAAGGCGGAUCUCUGGGCCAUUACUGACGCUGAGGAGCGAAAGCGUGGGGAGCGAACAGG